GCGAGAAUAACUCAGUGGUAGAGUGUCAGCUUCCCAAGCUGAAUGUCGCGGGUUCAAUCCCCGUUUCUCGCU
rnacentral:tRNA from 1 species